rnacentral:lncRNA from 1 species
UCCAGGUACCAUGACUGGUGUCUGAACUUUGCUGCAUAGGAUAUCUGCAACAUAGAUAAUCUUAUCUUUCGGUACCCAGAAUCUCUUGGGUCCUUUUAGAUUAGUUUUCCCAGAGUUUCUUAUAACUUUGGGUCUUCUAGCAUUUUUAAAUUUGUGUUCUUGUGUGUGUGUGUAGUGAUAUGAAAAAGGAGAUUUAAUUUGGUCACUGGUAGAAGUUUUAUCUUCCUUAGGAUCAUACCCAAUUCCCCUUUUAUUGUUCUGACUUACUCCAUAAAUCAUGGAUGCCAUAAUAC